GGCAGUUCUCGGGUGACAUACCCAGAAUUGGGCUCCCUCUUCUCUGGUUCCGGGGUGUGUCACCUGAGCACCACC
rfam:Myotis davidii contig128009, whole genome shotgun sequence.